GAUGAACGCUAGCGGCAGGCCUAAUACAUGCAAGUCGAACGGCAAGAUUUGGUAGCAAUACUGAAUCCUAGAGUGGCGCACGGGUGAGUAACGCGUACAUGACAUACCUAUAAGCGAGGGAUAGCAUUGGGAAACUGGUAGUAACCCCUCAUGUGAUUAUUUGUAAUAAAGGUAAAUAAUUAAAACUACGGUGCUUAUAGAUCGGUGUGCGUCUGAUUAGCUAGUUGGCGAGGUAACGGCUCACCAAGGCGACGAUCAGUAGGGGGCGUGAGAGCGUGAACCCCCACACGGGUACUGAGACACGGACCCGACUCCUACGGGAGGCAGCAGUAAGGAAUAUUGGUCAAUGGAGGGGACUCUGAACCAGCCAUGCCGCGUGCAGGAUGAAAGCCCUCUGGGUUGUAAACUGCUUUUAACAGGGAAGAAAAUGCUAUACGCGAUAUAGUACUGACGGUACCUGAGGAAUAAGCACCGGCUAACUCCGUGCCAGCAGCCGCGGUAA
rnacentral:rRNA from 1 species